CCUUUGUACACACCGCCCGUCGCUACUACCGAUUGAAUGGCUCAGUGAGGCGUCCGGACUGGCCCAGAGAGGAGGGAAACCACCACUCAGGGCCGGAAAGCUCUCCACACUCGGUCAUUUAGAGG
rnacentral:rRNA from 1 species